rnacentral:lncRNA from 1 species
UUGAUAUUGCAUGUGUUAAUCAUCCAAAAUUCGACUUUGAUACAAGUAGUUGAUAAGUUGCAUUGUCUUUGUUAUUUCACUGAUUUUCUACCUAUGUUUGAUUUGGACUUGUGCUUAAACACAUCGAUUCUUUAUGUGAUACGUAAUUGCAUGAUUAGUGUAUGUGUGUGACCUAUAAGUAGAGCACGUAGCCGAGCUUGUUUGUGUCACGAUGUUGAAUGAAACCCGUAGUCUAAUUCUAAGUAGGUCUAUGUCAUAGGAACCACGUAUGAACUUAUGUGCAUAUCAAAUUUAGGUUGUAUAAUUGCUCUCGGUGUAGACUUAAAUGAGAUUAGAGAUCGUCUUCUUUGUUCUUACAUGGUUGUUUGGUUAAGUUUGCAUGAUUGUUGGUUGAUCACAUGUAAAUAUGUAUAGAAGUAAUUUAGGAUUUAUUUUCAAUGUUUAUUCCAAAAUCAUCAAAACCUUUAAACCCUAUAUGCUUAUUUCGACAUUUUUAUUAGAUUAGAUGGAUCUACCCUGUAGUUGGAUCCCCGGUUUAGAAUGAUCCCUGCUUGCUUUAUACUACGAUUGAUUUGUUGACAGGGUUAAUUGAUGCGUGUGCAAAUACGUCUUAUCAAAUGGCGCCGUUGCCGGGGAUCCUUCGGGAUCCUUGAUCUUUUUAAUUGUCAAAAUUUGUAUUGUAUAUAUGUCUAUAUGUUUAUAUUUGUAAAGUUAAAACCAUAAAUUUGUAUAUGAUGUAAUUGUGUUUUAUUUUUGUCUUUCUACUUUAAUACUUGUAUGAAUAAUGUUGUAGGUUGUACUGCACAGGAAUAGGUAGGAUCCUUUUUGUUAAUUCUAGUCUUAACCCUUCUUGUUUACCCUCGGGUUUGCAUGAGGUUGUGGGCGGCUUUUAUUAACACUUGGAGUCAUGUUUGGUUUAUAAGUUUGUUGCUAGCUGAGUACAUUGGUACGCUCCUUCUAUUACUCUGGUGCAUGGGACCAAAUUGGAUCUCAAGAGCCUUGAAA